rnacentral:rRNA from 1 species
GUGGGGAAUAUUGGACAAUGGGCGAAAGCCUGAUCCAGCCAUGCCGCGUGUGUGAAGAAGGUCUUCGGAUUGUAAAGCACUUUAAGUUGGGAGGAAGGGUAGUAACCUAAUACGUUGCUACUUUGACGUUACCGACAGAAUAAGCACCGGCUAACUUCGUGCCAGCAGCCGCGGUAAUACGAAGGGUGCAAGCGUUAAUCGGAAUUACUGGGCGUAAAGCGCGCGUAGGUGGUUCAGCAAGUUGAAGGUGAAAUCCCCGGGCUCAACCUGGGAACUGCCUCAAAAACUACUGAGCUAGAGUACGGUAGAGGGUAGUGGAAUUUCCUGUGUAGCGGUGAAAUGCGUAGAUAUAGGAAGGAACACCAGUGGCGAAGGCGACUACCUGGACUGAUACUGACACUGAGGUGCGAAAGCGUGGGGAGCAAACAGGAUUAGAAACCCUUGUAGUCC